ACCGUACUCCUACGGGAGGCAGCAGUGGGGAAUUUUGGACAAUGGGGGCAACCCUGAUCCAGCAAUGCCGCGUGAGUGAAGAAGGCCUUCGGGUUGUAAAGCUCUUUUGUCAGGGAAGAAACGGUAGUAGCUAAUAACUAUUACUAAUGACGGUACCUGAAGAAUAAGCACCGGCUAACUACGUGCCAGCAGCCGCGGUAAUACGCAGGGUGCAAGCGUUAAUCGGAGUUACUGGGCGUAAAGCGUGCGCAGGCGGUUGUGUAAGUCAGAUGUGAAAUCCCCGGGCUCAACCUGGGAAUUGCAUUUGAGACUUAACGGCUAGAGUGUGUCAGAGGGGGGUAGAAUUCCACGUGUAGCAGUGAAAUGCGUAGAUAUGUGGAGGAAUACCGAUGGCGAAGGCAGCCCCCUGGGAUAACACUGACGCUCAUGCACGAAAGCGUGGGGAGCAAACAGGAUUAGAAACCCGAGUAGUCCUUGAC
rnacentral:rRNA from 1 species